rnacentral:rRNA from 1 species
UACGGAGGGUGCAAGCGUUAUCCGGAUUCACUGGGUUUAAAGGGUGCGUAGGAGGAAAGGUAAGUCAGUGGUGAAAUCUCCGGGCUUAACCCGGAAACUGCCGUUGAUACUAUUUGUCUUGAAUAUUGUGGAGGUAAGCGGAAUAUGUCAUGUAGCGGUGAAAUGCUUAGAUAUGACAUAGAACACCAAUUGCGAAGGCAGCUUACUACACAAUGAUUGACACUGAGGCACGAAAGCGUGGGGAUCAAACAGG